rnacentral:rRNA from 1 species
GACAGAGGGUGCAAACGUUGCUCGGAAUUACUGGGCGUAAAGCGCGUGUAGGCGGCUAAGUAAGUCGGGCGUGAAAUCCCACGGCUCAACCGUGGAAGUGCACUCGAAACUGCAUAGCUAGAGUCCUGGAGAGGAAGGUGGAAUGCUUGGUGUAGAGGUGAAAUUCGUAGAUAUCAAGCGGAACACUGGUGGCGAAGGCGGCCUUCUGGACAGUGACUGACGCUGAGACGCGAAAGCGUGGGGAGCAAACAGG